rnacentral:rRNA from 1 species
GAUGAACGCUAGCGACAGGCUUAACACAUGCAAGUCGAGGGGCAGCACGAUGUAGCAAUACAUUGGUGGCGACCGGCGCACGGGUGAGUAACGCGUAUGCAACCUACCUAUCAGAGGGGAAUAACCCGGCGAAAGUCGGACUAAUACCGCAUAAAACAGGGGUUCCACAUGGAAAUAUUUGUUAAAGAAUUAUCGCUGAUAGAUGGGCAUGCGUUCCAUUAGAUAGUUGGUGAGGUAACGGCUCACCAAGUCCACGAUGGAUAGGGGUUCUGAGAGGAAGGUCCCCCACACUGGUACUGAGACACGGACCAGACUCCUACGGGAGGCAGCAGUGAGGAAUAUUGGUCAAUGGGCGAGAGCCUGAACCAGCCAAGUCGCGUGAAGGAUGAAGGAUCUAUGGUUUGUAAACUUCUUUUAUAUGGGAAUAAAGUGAGGAACGUGUUCCUUUU